AGUGAACGCUGGCGGUAGGCCUAACACAUGCAAGUCGAACGGCAGCACAGUAAGAGCUUGCUCUUACGGGUGGCGAGUGGCGGACGGGUGAGGAAUACAUCGGAAUCUACUUUUUCGUGGGGGAUAACGUAGGGAAACUUACGCUAAUACCGCAUACGACCUACGGGUGAAAGCAGGGGAUCUUCGGACCUUGCGCGAUUGAAUGAGCCGAUGUCGGAUUAGCUAGUUGGCGGGGUAAAGGCCCACCAAGGCGACGAUCCGUAGCUGGUCUGAGAGGAUGAUCAGCCACACUGGAACUGAGACACGGUCCAGACUCCUACGGGAGGCAGCAGUGGGGAAUAUUGGACAAUGGGCGCAAGCCUGAUCCAGCCAUACCGCGUGGGUGAAGAAGGCCUUCGGGUUGUAAAGCCCUUUUGUUGGGAAAGAAAAGCAGCAGGUUAAUACCCCGCUGUUCUGGCGGUACCCAAAGGAUAAGCACCGGCUAACUUCGUG
rnacentral:rRNA from 1 species